rnacentral:rRNA from 1 species
UACGUAGGGGGCAAGCGUUGUCCGGAAUCAUUGGGCGUAAAGAGCGUGUAGGCGGCUUGGUAAGUCCGCUGUGAAAGUCCAGGGCUCAACCCUGGAAAGCCGGUGGAAACUGUCAAGCUCGAGUCCGGAAGAGGCGAGUGGAAUUCCUGGUGUAGCGGUGAAAUGCGCAGAUAUCAGGAGGAACACCAAUGGCGAAGGCAGCUCGCUGGGACGGUACUGACACUGAGACGCGAAAGCGUGGGGAGCAAACAGG